rnacentral:rRNA from 1 species
GAUGAACGCUAGCUACAGGCUUAACACAUGCAGGUCGAGGGGAAACGACAUCGAAAGCUUGCUUUUGAUGGGCGUCGACCGGCGCACGGGUGAGUAACGCGUAUCCAACCUGCCCAUCACUUGGGAAUAACCUUGCGAAAGUAAGACUAAUACCCAAUGACAUCCCACGAAGACAUCUGAAUGGGAUUAAAGAUUUAUCGGUGAUGGAUGGGGAUGCGUCUGAUUAGCUUGUUGGCGGGGUAACGGCCCACCAAGGCAACGAUCAGUAGGGGUUCUGAGAGGAAGGUCCCCCACAUUGGAACUGAGACACGGUCCAAACUCCUACGGGAGGCAGCAGUGAGGAAUAUUGGUCAAUGGGCGAGAGCCUGAACCAGCCAAGUAGCGUGCAGGAUGACGGCCCUAUGGGUUGUAAACUGCUUUUAUAAGGGAAUAAAGUGGGUCUCGUGAGACUUUUUGCAUGUACCUUAUGAAUAAGGACCGGCUAAUUCCGUG